ensembl:snoRNA
GUGCCCUUUUAAGGUCGAUGCAGUGCCUUAAGAGGCUAACACAGAAGGGUAAAGGUAGUCUCCAUAAAAUCAAGAGAAGAGAUUGUGCACUCCUCUUUGGAGCCUGUCUAUAGUCACAGUU